GACGGGGGGGGCAAGCGUUGUUCGGAAUUACUGGGCGUAAAGGGCUCGUAGGCGGCCAACUAAGUCAGACGUGAAAUCCCUCAGCUUAACUGGGGAACUGCGUCUGAUACUGGAUGGCUUGGAUUCGGGAGAGGAAUGCGGAAUUCCAGGUGUAGCGGUGAAAUGCGUAGAUAUCUGGAGGAACACCGGUGGCGAAGGCGGCAUUCUGGACCGACAUUGACGCUGAGGAGCGAAAGCCAGGGGAGCAAACGGG
rnacentral:rRNA from 1 species